ACCUUGAUAGCUUAAAUUUAGAAAGUUUAAUAUUGAAGAUAUUAAGAUAAGUAUAUUACUUUCAUGGUA
rnacentral:tRNA from 1 species